UACGUAGGGUGCGAGCGUUAAUCGGAAUUACUGGGCGUAAAGCGUGCGCAGGCGGUUCGUUGUGUCGGCGGUGAAAGCCCCGGGCUUAACCUGGGAACCGCGCUUGAGACUGGGAGAACUAGAGUUCGGGAGAGGAUGGUGGAAUUCCCAGUGUAGAGGUGAAAUUCGUAGAUAUUGGGAGGACACCGAUGGCGAAGGCAGCCAUCUGGACCGACACUGACGCUGAGCGCGAAAGCGUGGGGAGCAAACAGG
rnacentral:rRNA from 1 species